CCCAGACUCCUACGGGAGGCAGCAGUGGGGAAUAUUGCACAAUGGGGGAAACCCUGAUGCAGCGACGCCGCGUGAGCGAAGAAGUAUUUCGGUAUGUAAAGCUCUAUCAGCAGGGAAGAAAAUGACGGUACCUGACUAAGAAGCCCCGGCUAAAUACGUGCCAGCAGCCGCGGUAAUACGUAGGGGGCAAGCGUUAUCCGGAUUUACUGGGUGUAAAGGGAGCGUAGACGGUUAUGUAAGUCUGGAGUGAAAGCCCGGGGCCCAACCCCGGGACUGCUUUGGAAACUGUGUAACUGGAGUACAGGAGGGGCAGGCGGAAUUCCUGGUGUAGCGGUGAAAUGCGUAGAUAUUAGGAGGAACACCAGUGGCGAAGGCGGCUUGCUGGACGACAACUGACGCUGAGGCUCGAAAGCGUGGGGAGCAAACAGGAUUAGAUACCCCUGUA
rnacentral:rRNA from 1 species